rnacentral:lncRNA from 1 species
GGCCAAUGGCCCACCAAUGUCAUUCUUAGCAUGUGUUUAAUGUUCUAGGUUCAGUUUUGAUAAUUGAUUGACGUAAAUUGAGUAAUUGAACCUAAGUUCGUUACAAUUCGUGGUUAGGUGAAAAUGUGAAUUGACGAUCCGACCGUUGGAUCGUCACCAAACAUUGAUAUGUUGUAAUACGUAAUAUUUGAGGAUUAUAGGAACUUACGGAUUGGGAAUCCGAUUUACGGAUCUUCCAGAAUUGGAGUUGUAAGUUCAUAAAAUAGAAUGUUAACCGUCACUUGGUUUUGACAAUUGACGGAGAUCCGAUCGUUGGAUGGUAAGGAAAUUUUAAGAUGUUGUUCUAGAGAUAUAUUGUGGACCUCUGGAAGUUAUGGAUUGGAAAUCUGAGUUGCAGAUCUUCCAGAUCGAACUACGUAGUGACGUGUUUUAUAUAAGUUAUAUAUUCCAUCGAUAUGAUUUCUGAGGUUUGAUUUGAUGAUUGUUCUAGGCGCCGAUCGUCAUGACGUCUUGAUGUGUUGUGCUAGGUAGUUGUAGGGCGAACUCCAGGUGAGUGGGCAGUUAUUUUCGGUUUAUACCUAUAUACUACUGAUAUUUCCCAGAAAUUGAAUUUAAACGAAGGUAUGUUUGCCAUGCAUACAUAAUAUAUGAAUUAUAUGAAUUAGUAUUUGAUGCAUAUAUAUGAAAUGGUGCUGUGGACGCACAUGUGAGUAUCAGGUGAGUUUUAUGUGUUCAUGUGAAUUAUUAAUGAUAUGAAUUGUGUUGAGAGCUCAUAACCUACACCCCUGGUGUUAGUGCUUAUAUUAUUCACCCCGCACCAUACACUCACCUUGGAUCCAAGUAGGUGCAUGUCGUACAGACCACGAGAGGUGGUUCCGACUUGUAGGUGACUUUAGAUUAUUAUAC